rnacentral:rRNA from 1 species
UACGAAGGGGGCUAGCGUUGCUCGGAAUCACUGGGCGUAAAGGGUGCGUAGGCGGGUCCUUAAGUCAGGGGUGAAAUCCUGGAGCUCAACUCCAGAACUGCCUUUGAUACUGAGGAUCUUGAGUUCGGGAGAGGUGAGUGGAACUGCGAGUGUAGAGGUGAAAUUCGUAGAUAUUCGCAAGAACACCAGUGGCGAAGGCGGCUCACUGGCCCGGUACUGACGCUGAGGUGCGAAAGCGUGGGGAGCAAACAGG